UGACGUACUUAAUGGAUGCUCCCUCACCCAUCGGGUGCAUCUCGCAGACCAAUGCUUGCGAUGUUUUAUUUUAAUCAUCAUCAUCACCAUUCCUAGACCAACAGUUUAAAAGAACCUAAAAAAAUGCUCUGCACUCGAGGUUUAAAAGCAGUGCGCCAACGUAAACCAGGAGUGUUGGUGAUGUUCUUUCUGAUAAUGGUAUUGGCUGAAAUAUUUACUGUGUUUCGCUAACAUUUAAAUCUUUUAUCUAUUUAUUUUUAUUUUGCAAAAAAAAAUGAGAAGCUCAUCCAAUCAAAUCGUUAUUAACACGACUUUCAUCAAUGUAACACAAAAACUGGGUUUGGAUGAUCGGAAGUUAAUUUUCAUUUUAUUUUGCAAACUUUGUAAUUUUACUAUCUAAUUAGUAUAUAACUAUCAUUUUGGGUUAAGCUAACCUAAACAUCGGGUGUUUUCCUCCGUAUAAAAAAGGUAAGCGAGAUGAGCAAAAUAAACAAUUAAAUAAUAGGCUCUUUUUGAAAACGAUUAUAGAAACCGUGUGUAGAGGUUGCUGAUGAUUGACAUCUCUCUCUUUUCAUCUCACAAAUGUUUUCCCAAUGAAAACAUGCGUAAGCUGGAAAGAGAAAGGUGUCAAUCAUCAGCAACCUCUGUUUGUUUACAUGCUACGAAAGGAAUCAAAAUGAUCACAAGCAAUCAUAAAACAAACUUGCCGUUUAUUCUUAUUUAUUAGUGAUAUGAAAAACUAAAACUAAUACCUAAUACUGAUUAAUACAUCGACGAAACGGUUGAAUGAAUCAGCUAUUCAGGAAAGCGGUAAAUGUGGAUUUCCAAUUAGAACUACCAAGAACGUCACCCGAUAGAAAUGCAAUUGCAAUUACUGUUUGUGGACCGGAUGGUGAAUUCUAUCUCUUGAUUAUUUAGUAUUGAACUUUGAAUGAAAAAAAAAAAUGAACAAUGGCGUGAAAUUGUGUAAUUAUCAAUUGUGGUGUGAACUAAUUGUAGAUACUGGUGAACUUCUAGAAAAUAAAUAGUGAAUGGAUCCGUAAUCAACACAGUCGCAUAAUUACGCAAAGAAAUUAUUUUGUUAGACUCAAGCUCAAAAUGUUUCUCAAAGUGUUUCAGUAUGGUACAAUCUUGUAAUGAUUAUAAAAGGAUGAUUUACUUACAUGUGGUACAUCGGAGGCAGCAGAUCCAAGGAUGGGGUACGUCUUUACAAGCGAUUUUGCUAUCAUUUCCUUAUGGAAUGUGGAUGGCCUCCUACAACGAGUUUUAUAAAAUACUAGCACGUCCUAGCCUUACAUAAGAAUGAAAACAUACUCGCCAUACACUGCUCGCAAACAGUCACACAAGAUGUGGGAGAUCUGCGUUAUCAUUUUUUCGUUUGAAUUUUGACCUUCCUUCAGGCGUUCAAUCAAAUUCCUGCCUGUUUCGGUUUUGCAAAGUAUAGUGUCGAUGUUGAUUUCCUGCAAAAAUAGAGAUUUAUAAAUGAAAUGUGUAGUUUGAGUGUUUGGGCCGUCCAUGAAUCAAGAGAUCUUUGUAAGGGAUAGUUUGAUGCCAGGGGGAAAUGGUUCAAAAUGCCACAAUAAUAUUUUUUAAUCUUUCAAAGUACAAACAAAAGUGAUUAACAAAUGUGAUUGGAUAAAUAAAUGAGUUCAUAGGCGGUUUAUUACUUUAGGAUUAUAUG